AGAGAGUGCAAGCGUUAAUCAGAAUUACUGGGCGUAAAGCGCACGUAGGUGGAUAUUUAAGUCGGAUGUGAAAGCCCUGGGCUCAACCUAGGAACUGCAUUCGAUACUGGGUAUCUAGAGUAUGGUAGAGGGAAGUGGAAUUUCCGGUGUAGCGGUGAAAUGCGUAGAUAUCGGAAGGAACAUCAGUGGCGAAGGCGACUUCCUGGACCAAUACUGACACUCAGGUGCGAAAGCGUGGGGAGCAAACAGGAUUAGAUACCCUGGUAGUCCACGCCCGUCAACGAUAAGAACUAGACGUUGGGGCUUUUAAGCCUUAGUGUCGAAGCUAACGCGCUAAGUUCUCCGCCUGGGAGUACGAUCGCAAGAUUA
rnacentral:rRNA from 1 species